CCUACGGGUGGCUGCAGUGAGGAAUAUUGGUCAAUGGACGAGAGUCUGAACCAGCCAAGUAGUGUGAAGGAUGACUGCCCUCUGGGUUGUAAACUUCUUUUAUAUGGGAAUAAAAUGUUCCACGUGUGGGAUUUUGUAUGUACCAUAUGAGUAAGGAUCGGCUAACUCCGUGACAGCAGCCGCGGUAAUACGGAGGAUCCGAGCGUUAUACGGUUUUAUUGGGGUUAAAGGGAGCGUAGGUGGAUUGUUAAGUCAGUUGUGAAAGUUUGCGGCUAAACCGUAAAAUUGAAGUUGAAACUGGCAGUCUUGAGUACAGUAGAGGUGGGCGGAAUUCGUGGUGUAGCGGUGAAAUGCUUAGAUAUCACGAAGAACUCCGAUUGCGAAGGCAGUUCACUGGACUGCAACUGACACUGAGGCUCGAAAGUGUGGGUAUCAAACAGGAUUAGAUACCCUAGUAGUC
rnacentral:rRNA from 1 species